rnacentral:tRNA from 1 species
GAAAUGAAAAAAAAUUAAGCUUCUAACUUAAUAAAUAGUGAAUUAUACAUUACCAUUUCU